rnacentral:tRNA from 1 species
CCUUCGAUAGCUCAGUUGGUAGAGCAGAGGACUGUAGAGGAACGACGUCUGCUGUUAUCCUUAGGUCGCUGGUUCGACUCCGGCUCGAAGGA